AAACUAGGCAAAAUGGCACCGUAACUUCGGGAGAAGGUGCGCCGGUGAGGGUGAAGGACUUGCUCCGUAAGCUCAUGCCGGUCGAAGAUACCAGGCCGCUGCGACUGUUUAUUAAAAACACAGCACUCUGCAAACACGAAAGUGGACGUAUAGGGUGUGACGCCUGCCCGGUGCCGGGAGGUUAAUUGAUGGGGUUAGCUAACGCGAAGCUCUUGAUCGAAGCCCCGGUAAACGGCGGCCGUAACGAUAACGGUCCUAAGGUAGCGAAAUUCCUUGUCGGGUAAGUUCCGACCUGCACGAAUGGCGUAACGAUGGCGGCGCUGUCUCCACCCGAGACUCAGUGAAAUUGAAAUCGCUGUGAAGAUGCAGUGUAUCCGCGGCUAGACGGAAAGACCCCGUGAACCUUUACUAUAGCUUUGCACUGGACUUUGAAUUUGCUUGUGUAGGAUAGGUGGGAGGCUUUGAAGUGUGGACGCCAGUCUGCAUGGAGCCAACCUUGAAAUACCACCCUGGCAACUUUGAGGUUCUAACUCAGGUCCGUUAUCCGGAUCGAGGACAGUGUAUGGUGGGUAGUUUGACUGGGGCGGUCUCCUCCUAAAGAGUAACGGAGGAGUACGAAGGUGCGCUCAGACCGGUCGGAAAUCGGUCGUAGAGUAUAAAGGCAAAAGCGCGCUUGACUGCGAGACAGACACGUCGAGCAGGUACGAAAGUAGGUCUUAGUGAUCCGGUGGUUCUGUAUGGAAGGGCCAUCGCUCAACGGAUAAAAGGUACUCCGGGGAUAACAGGCUGAUACCGCCCAAGAGUUCAUAUCGACGGCGGUGUUUGGCACCUCGAUGUCGGCUCAUCACAUCCUGGGGCUGAAGCCGGUCCCAAGGGUAUGGCUGUUCGCCAUUUAAAGUGGUACGCGAGCUGGGUUUAGAACGUCGUGAGACAGUUCGGUCCCUAUCUGCCGUGGACGUUUGAGAUUUGAGAGGGGCUGCUCCUAGUACGAGAGGACCGGAGUGGACGAACCUCUGGUGUUCCGGUUGUCACGCCAGUGGCAUUGCCGGGUAGCUAUGUUCGGAAUAGAUAACCGCUGAAAGCAUCUAAGCGGGAAACUAGCCUCAAGAUGAGAUCUCACUGGAACCUUGAGUUCCCUGAAGGGCCGUCGAAGACUACGACGUUGAUAGGUUGGGUGUGUAAGCGCUGUGAGGCGUUGAGCUAACCAAUACUAAUUGCCCGUGAGGCUUGACCU
rnacentral:rRNA from 1 species